UACGUAGGGUGCAAGCGUUGUCCGGAAUUAUUGGGCGUAAAGAGCUCGUAGGCGGCUUGUCGCGUCGACUGUGAAAACCCACGGCUCAACUGUGGGCUUGCAGUCGAUACGGGCAGGCUAGAGUUCGGUAGGGGAGACUGGAAUUCCUGGUGUAGCGGUGAAAUGCGCAGAUAUCAGGAGGAACACCGGUGGCGAAGGCGGGUCUCUGGGCCGAUACUGACGCUGAGGAGCGAAAGCGUGGGGAGCGAACAGG
rnacentral:rRNA from 1 species